rnacentral:rRNA from 1 species
UAGGGAAUCUUCGGCAAUGGGGGCAACCCUGACCGAGCAACGCCGCGUGAGUGAAGAAGGUUUUCGGAUCGUAAAGCUCUGUUGUAAGAGAAGAACGUGUGUGAGAGUGGAAAGUUCACACAGUGACGGUAACUUACCAGAAAGGGACGGCUAACUACGUGCCAGCAGCCGCGGUAAUACGUAGGUCCCGAGCGUUGUCCGGAUUUAUUGGGCGUAAAGCGAGCGCAGGCGGUUUAAUAAGUCUGAAGUUAAAGGCAGUGGCUUAACCAUUGUUCGCUUUGGAAACUGUUCAACUUGAGUGCAGAAGGGGAGAGUGGAAUUCCAUGUGUAGCGGUGAAAUGCGUAGAUAUAUGGAGGAACACCGGUGGCGAAAGCGGCUCUCUGGUCUGUAACUGACGCUGAGGCUCGAAAGCGUGGGGAGCAAACAGG